AGAGUUUGAUCAUGGCUCAGAACGAACGCUGGCGGCGUGCCUAACACAUGCAAGUCGAACGGGAUUAAGGGGCUUGCUCCUUAAUCUAGUGGCGCACGGGUGAGUAACGCGUAGAUAAUCUGCCUGAUGAUCUGGAAUAACAUCCCGAAAGGGGUGCUAAUACCUGAUAAGCCCACGAUGGCCUUGGUCGUUGCGGGAAAAGGGGGGGACCUUUUGGCCUUCCGUCAUCAGAUGAGUCUGCGUACCAUUAGCU
rnacentral:rRNA from 1 species